UACAGAGGGUGCGAGCGUUAAUCGGAAUUACUGGGCGUAAAGCGUGCGUAGACGGUUAUUUAAGUCGGGUGUGAAAGCCCCGGGCUCAACCUGGGAAUUGCAUUCGAGACUGAAUAGCUAGGGUACGGUAGAGGGAAGCGGAAUUUCCGGUGUAGCGGUGAAAUGCGUAGAUAUCGGAAGGAACAUCAGUGGCGAAAGCGGCUUCCUGGACCAGUACCGACGUCAGGCACGAAAGCCGUGGGGAGCAAACAGGA
rnacentral:rRNA from 1 species